rnacentral:rRNA from 1 species
AACAUCGCCCUUUGAAAAAAUAAUUAUAAAGGGUACUGCCUGCCCAGUGAUAAAAAUUAAACGGCCGCGGUACUUUGACCGUGCAAAGGUAGCAUAAUCAUUUGUUCUUUAAUUGAGGACUAGUAUGAAAGGCAAAACGAAAGCUUAACUGUCUCCUUUUUAAAAAAAGAAAUUAGUAUUUUUGUGAAGAAACAAAAAUAAUAAAGCAAGACGAGAAGACCCUGUCGAGCUUAAGAAAAUUUUUAUAAUAAAUUUUAAUAAGAUAAACAAAACUCUACUCAAAAAAUAAAAUAAAAAUAUCUUUGGUUGGGGCAACCACGAAGAAAAAAAAACCUUCGUUUAAAAAAAGAAAUUUACAAAUUUAAAAAUUACUAAAAAUUUUAAAGAUCCAGAAAAUUCUGAUCAAAGAAAAAAGUUACCGCAGGGAUAACAGCGUUAUUCUCUUUAAGAGCUCUUAUUGACAAGAGAGUUUGCGACCUCGAUGUUGGACCGGGGCACCCAAGAGGUGUAGCAGCCUCUAAAGGUAGGUCUGUUCGACCUUUAAAGCCCUACGUGAU